rnacentral:rRNA from 1 species
UGCGCAGGCGGCUCCUUAAGUCAGAUGUGAAAGCCCCGGGCUUAACCUGGGAACUGCGUUUGAAACUGGGGAGCUAGAGUGUAGAAGAGGGGGGUGGAAUUCCAGGUGUAGCAGUGAAAUGCGUAGAGAUCUGGAGGAACACCGAUGGCGAAGGCAGCCCCCUGGGCUAACACUGACGCUCAUGCACGAAAGCGUGGGAGCAAACA